rnacentral:rRNA from 1 species
ACUCCUACGGGAGGCAGCAGUGAGGAAUAUUGGACAAUGGAGGAGACUCUGAUCCAGCCAUGCCGCGUGUAGGAAGAAUGCCCUAUGGGUUGUAAACUACUUUUAUACAGGAAGAAACACUGGUAUGUAUACCAGCUUGACGGUACUGUAAGAAUAAGGACCGGCUAACUCC